CACCCCUGCGUUAAAGGCAAAGCUUGAAAACCAGAUCUAUUCUAGUUACUGACACAAAUAAAAUCCUGCACUUCUUCAGGUGGGGUCACUGACUAGAUGCAGGUAAUAGAACUUGCGUGAAGCUCAACUCGUUGUGAUCUGUGGUUCGGGUGAUGUGACGGUUUCAGUUGUUAGGGCUUCUGAGCCUUUUCAGUUGAUUAGGUUUCUGGGUCUGAUGUUAUCGACUAAAGGAAACCCAGGUAUGUUUGUUUAAUAUUAAACUUAAUAUUUAAUGUAACUUGCCCAGCAACAUUAAAGGGGAUUUCUUAAGCCAACUCUCGAAGCUGUGGGCUACACAUUUUGCACUGUUUUUAUCCUUGUCUUCAUCCUAUCACCUUGGACUCAGACACAAGGCCUUUCAAAUGGAGAUUUGAAAAAAUUACUGCCAUUUAUGUAAAAUAAUGUACUGUGACCAAGUUAUUAUUUUUUGUGACCAAGUUAUUUAAAUGGGAAAUAAAGUGCUUUAUUUAA